rnacentral:rRNA from 1 species
AUUGAACGCUGGCGGCAGGCCUAACACAUGCAAGUCGAGCGAGCGGCGGACGGUUGAGUAAUGUCUGGGAAACUGCCUGAUGGAGAGGGAUAACUACUGGAAACGGUAGCUAAUCCCGCAUACCAUGCGAUUUCCCCAGUUGGGAUUGGCUAGUAGGUGGGGUAAUGGCUCACCUAGGCGACGAUCCCUAGCUGGUCUGAGAGGAUGACCAGCCACACUGGAACUGAGACACGGUCCAGACUCCUACGGGAGGCAGCAGUGGGGAAUAGUGCACAAUGGGCGCAAGCCUGAUGCAGCCAUGCCGCGUGAGUGAAGAAGGCCUUCGGGUUGUAAAGCACUUUCAGCGGGGAGGCGUUACCCGAAGAAGAAGCACCGGCUAACUCCGUGCCAGCAGCCGCGGUAAUAC